UACGGAGGAUCCAAGCGUUAUCCGGAUUUAUUGGGUUUAAAGGGUGCUCAGGCGGGGGAUUAAGUCGGCGGUGAAAUUUUGCAGCUCAACUGUAAAAGUGCCUUCGAUACUGGUUUCCUUGAGUGUGGAUGAAGUAGGCGGAAUUUGUGGUGUAGCGGUGAAAUGCUUAGAUAUCACGAGGAACUCCGAUUGCGCAGGCAGCUUACUAAACUACUACUGACGCUCAGGCACGAAGGCGUGGGGAUCAAACAGGAUUAGAUACCCGCGUAGUU
rnacentral:rRNA from 1 species